GCCUCCGUACCUUAGUCGGUAGAAGUCCCGACUAUAGUGCAGUAGAACUUGGGUUCGAACCCCGCUGAAGGCA